rnacentral:tRNA from 1 species
GGGAAUUAGCUCAGUUGGUAGAGCACCUGCCUUGCAAGCAGGGGGUCAGGAGUUCGAAUCUCCUAUUCUCC